rnacentral:rRNA from 1 species
UACGUAGGGUGCGAGCGUUAAUCGGAAUUACUGGGCGUAAAGCGUGCGCAGGCGGUUGUGUAAGACAGGUGUGAAAUCCCCGGGCUUAACCUGGGAAUUGCAUUUGUGACUGCACGGCUAGAGUUUGGCAGAGGGGGGUAGAAUUCCACGUGUAGCAGUGAAAUGCGUAGAUAUGUGGAGGAAUACCGAUGGCGAAGGCAGCCCCCUGGGUCAAGACUGACGCUCAUGCACGAAAGCGUGGGGA